rnacentral:rRNA from 1 species
CUGGGUUGAUCAUGCCAGUAUUCAUAUGCUUUUCUCAAAGAUUAAGCCAUUCAUUUGUAAGUAUGAACGAAUUAAGACUGUGAAAAUGCGAAUGGCUCAUUAACUCAGUUAUAGUAUGUUUGAUGGUAACUACUAAUCGGAUAACCGUAGUAAUACUAGAGCUAAUACGUGCAACAAACCCGACUUCUGGAAGGGAUGCAUUUUUUAGAUAAAAGGUCGACGCGUGCUCUUCCCGUUGCUCUGAUUAUUCAUUAUAACUCGACGGAUCUCAUGUCCUUAGUGCUGGCGACGCUUCAUUCAAAUUUCUGCCCAUUCAACUUUCGAUGGUAGGUUAGUGGCCUACCAUGGUGGUAAUGGGUGACGUAGAAUUAGGGUUUGAUUCUGGAGAGGGAGCCUGAGAGACGGCUACCACAUCCAGGGAAAGCAGUAGGCGCGCAAAUUACCCAGUCCUGACACGGGGAGGUAGAGACAUAUAACAAAACCGGGCUCUUUGAGUCUGGUACUUGGAAUGAGUACAAUCUAAAAACCUUAACGAGGAUCCAUUAGAGGGCAAGUCUGGUGCCAACAGCCGCGGUAAUUCCAGCUCCAAUAGCGUAUAUUUAAAUUGUUGCAUUUGAAAAGCUCGUAGUUGAGCGUUGGGAUGGGUCGCCCGUCCCGCCUUCGGUGAGCACCGGGUGGCUUGUCUCUUCUGUCGAAGAUAUGCUCCUGGCCUUAACUGCCGGGUCGUGCCUCCGCCGCCGUUACUUUGAAGAAAUUAGGUUGCUCAAAGCAAGCUCGCUUGUAUAAUUGCAUGGGAUAACAUCAUAGGUUUUCGAUCCUAUUGUGUUGGCACUCGGGAUCGGAGUAAUGAUUUACAGGGACAGUCGGGGGCUUUCGUAUUUCAUAGUCAGAGGUGAAUUUCUUGGAUUUAUGAAAGCCGAACAACUGCGAAAGCCUCUGCCAAGGAUGUUUUCAUUAACAAAGAACGAAAGUUGGGGGCCCGAAGACGAUCAGAUACCGUCCAAGUCUCAACCAUAAACGAUCCCGACCAGGAUCAACGGAUGUUGCUUUUAGGAUCCCGCUGGCAACCGGUUAUGAAUCAAAGUUUGUUGGUUCCGGGGGGAGUAUGUGCGCAAGGCUGAAACUUAAAGGAAUUGACGGAGGGCACCACCAGGAGUGGAGCUUGCGGCUUAAUUUGACUCAUCACGGGGAAACUUACCAGCUCCAGACAUAGUAAGGAUUGACAGACCGAGAGCUCUUUCUUGAUUCUAUGGUGGUGUGCAUGGCCGUUCUUAGUUGUGGGAGCGAUUUGUCUGGUUUAUUCCGUUAACGAACGAAACCUCAGCCUGCUAACUACCUACGUGGAGGCAUCCCUUCACGGCCGGCUUCAUAGAGGGACUAUGGCCGUUUAGGGCCAGGAAGUUUGAGGCAACAACAGGUCUGUGAUGCCCAUAGAUGUUCUGGGCCGCACGCGCGCUACAUUGAUGUAUUCAACGAGUUCGCACCUUGGCCGACAGGCCCGGUUAAUCUUUGAAAUUUCAUCGUGAUGGGAUAGAUCAUUGCAAUUGUUGUUCUUCAACGAGGAAUUCAGUCCCGCGAGUCUUCAGCUCGCGUUGACUACGUCCCUUGCCUUUGUACACACCGCCCGUCGCUCCUACCGAUUGAUUGAUCCGGUGAAGUGUUCGGAUCGCGGCGUCGUGGGUGGUUCGCCGUCUGGACGUCGCGAGAAGUCCCCUAAACCUUAUCAUUUAGAGGAAGGAGAAGCAGUAACAAGGUUUCCGUAGGUGAAACUGCGGAAG